rnacentral:rRNA from 1 species
UACGUAGGGACCGAGCGUUGUCCGGAUUCAUUGGGCGUAAAGAGCUCGUAGGCGGCUGCUCAAGUCGAAUGUGAAAACUCGAGGCUCAACCUCGAGCCUGCAUUCGAUACUGGGCGGCUAGAGUCUGGUAGGGGGAUCUGGAAUUCCUGGUGUAGCGGUGGAAUGCGCAGAUAUCAGGAGGAACACCGGUGGCGAAGGCGGGUCUCUGGACAGUUCCUGACACUGAGGCACGAAGGCCAGGGGAGCAAACGGG